GCAACGGAUGCGUUGCUAUAGGGGGGUUUGUGUUGUAGUGUCUGUUCCUGAAGUCAUGGCUCCCUGGAUAUGUUCAGCUCGUCUACGCUUGGUCUUUGCCGGUAGCCAAGCUGCUCCAUAUGCUCGAGCUUCCAGCGCCCUGCAUCAGCUCGCCGGUAGCCAAGCUCUAUGGCACAAGCGCCUCUAAGCCCUGCUCCUUCUCCAACCGUGCCAAUGCUCGCCAGCUCCCUUAGCCCACCGGCCCUGCCCCUCUCAGCUCUGUUGUCGUCAACUCCGGCUGUGCGCCGUCGGCCAUGCCUCCCCAUGCCGACGUUGCUCCCCAUGUGCUCGCCCAGGCCACGACGUCGUCCAUGCCGUUCGGUGCGCUCUAGGUGUUCGACGAAAUAGAACCAAGGAACUGUCGCCGUUCUUGCAUAUAUCGAGUCGAUUCGAUUAUGGUACGCUAAUGAUCGUGCGAGAUGAAGGGCAUGGACCGACGAUAUCUCAGUGACUAUGUCGACAGAAGAUGAAUGGAUUGACCGUACCAGGAUUUUCGAUGUUCGCCAACCAGAUGUCUCUAACAACACUAACGUAGUGUUUAUCCUAGGCAAGCCCCGGUGCAUUCACCUCUUUCCUUGAUGUUUACAAAAAUUUAUCACCUUGAAUGAUGCAUUAGGUUAUAGGAGUUGUGUGAUCAAACAGUUGAUGCAUUUCCUUCCUUGAUUAAACAACCCUAAUACCUGUUUUAUGAAAAUUUAGUGAUGCUUAGCCCUGCUUAUUAAUUUAGGAUGGUUUUUGAAAGAUGAUGUGUAACACGGGAUAUGGGAGUUUGUGAAAUAAAAGGACUUGUGAUGAUGAACCCAUUGUGGCCGCAAUGAUUUCAUAAUUCAAGUAGGGUGCCUCUCUCAGGUAUCAAGUUUUGGGAAAUAAUAUGUAAUGUAGACCAGACGUUGAGCAGGAAAGUUCGCCCUUCUGCGUCGAUUAAGGACCGUUCGAUGUAGGCCUGUUGUGGUGGAGACUUUGCAACUUGCCACAUGCUUCGGUAAGCCUGAACUCGGCUAUUCCAUACGUGAAAAGACAACCGCGCACUGGGCGUGGGAGAUGGUGGGAGUAGCGUGUACCUCCUGGCUAGAGGCUGGACGGAGGAGUACUGUGCUCCCGGUAGCGCGGACCGGUUCACGUUGUGGAGGAUCUGUGGGAACGGUUGACAUAUGCAAGGGUUAAGUGCUACAUAUGUCAUGUGGUUAGGGAUCCCCAGCUGGGUAUAAUUGAUUCGAAUCGUCGUUGCUCCUCAGUCAUGGAGACUCUACCCUCCGACCACUCAUCGUAGUUAAUAAGUAAAAUAAGAAUUUGGUAAAAGAAAGCUAGACCAGAACAAGUGAAUGCUCUAGAUUAGGCAAAACUAGAUUCAGGAAAAGUACUUAACUUGUGAAGUAAAAUUUUUGCAUAAGGAUCCACUACUAGUAAGCCUUUCUGCAAAAAGAGUCUUUGAAUCUUCAUAAGCUUUACCUUGAUUCCCAAAAGCCAGCAUAUCCUUGAGAGUCUUUUUCCUUAAACGGGUAAGACUUGCGAAAGUACACUCCGUACUCAGUGUUUUCGAACCCAUGUUGUUGCAGGUACUAGAUUUGUGCUGCUGUUGAUGGUGCUUAGUGCCAGUGGGCUCGACCUUCUUAUAGGUUAAAGUAGCUCUUCUAUACUUCUUAUUAAGGAUUGUCAUUGAGCUAGCAUAUAUUUCAAAAUUAUAAAUAAUUUAUAACAUUUCAAAGUAUAUUUCUUUGAAUCAAUUUUGUAAUCACUCCGAUAAAUAUAAUGUAAAUUUGUUGUAACUUGUAACUUUUUGUAAUAAAGAAAUUCUGCUACAAA